GUAUGAGAUGGUCAAUGAUUAAUAUCCCUAUUAGUUUGAGUGGCCAACAUAAUGGCCUAAAUACUGAACCGAAUCUGAUCAUCC